GGGGGCGUAAAGGGUUCGACGGGGGAGCGAAGGGCCGAAAGUAGCGAGGCGAGGACCCCAUCUUACCUCGUUAAAAAUGGUGGGAAAAGAUAACUGCCAACGAAAACUACGCUUUAGCUGCUUAAUAACGCAGCUACGUCCUGACGGAAGCUUGCCCGGGGCUUCUGUCGGGGCGUGACCGGACCGGGCUGGCUUAUGAAGGGUGUCCCGGCUCUUCAUAAGCGAGAUUUUACGGGAUAGCCCGAUUGUGGCCUGCCGGUAGGCACCAAUCGGGUGAAAGCAAAAAUACCGGCUGCCCUCGGAGAAGCUUUCGGUUCUUGUCCUCCGGACGGUGGGUUCGAUUCCCCCCGCCUCCACCA
rnacentral:tmRNA from 24 species